rnacentral:rRNA from 1 species
AACGAACGCUGGCGGCAGGCCUAACACAUGCAAGUCGAGCGAAGCCUUCGGGCUUAGCGGCGGACGGGUGAGUAACGCGUGGGAACGUGCCCUUUGGUACGGAAUAGCCCCGGGAAACUGGGAGUAAUACCGUAUGUGGUCGAGAGACGAAAGAUUUAUCGCCAAAGGAUCGGCCCGCGUUGGAUUAGGUAGUUGGUGGGGUAAUGGCCUACCAAGCCGACGAUCCAUAGCUGGUUUGAGAGGAUGAUCAGCCACACUGGGACUGAGACACGGCCCAGACCCCUACGGGAGGCAGCAGUGGGGAAUCUUAGACAAUGGGGGAAACCCUGAUCUAGCCAUGCCGCGUGAUCGAUGAAGGCCUUAGGGUUGUAAAGAUCUUUCAGUGGGGAAGAUAAUGACUGUACCCACAGAAGAAGCCCCGGCUAACUCCGUGCCAGCCGCCGCGGUAAGAC